rnacentral:lncRNA from 10 species
UGCUGUGCUACUCACCUGGGGGUUGCUGAGCCAGCAGGGCCUCCGGAUGGGGUAGACUGAAUAGCAGUACUUUCCCGUCUGAGCAGGCCAGAGCCAAGAGACCCAACCGGGGCAGGAGAGGAGCCUAAAGGGUAAAAGAAUCAGAAAAAAGGGCGGAUGUGCAAUCUUCACCUGUUUAUUCGGUAGAGGGUGCCAUCUUCAGGUAGCCCUUCACGUUGUACAGAAAACAAUGGAGACUUCUCCUCCUGGGGCAGUGGUGUCACCCUUCCUAAGCUACAGAGAUGUUGCUUCAACUUACAGCUCAGAUAACAAGUGCCACUUCCAGGCUAAAGGAAUCCACUCAGCAAACUCCCAGUAUGAAUGUUUCUGCUCUCGGCUGGAGAAACAGAAGAAGCAUUAAUGAAGGAGAGGGAUUCUACAGCCGCACAGUCCAAUAAAACUUUCUGUGGGGAUGGAAAUGAUCCAUUAUCUGUGCUCCCCAAUAUGCCAGUUGCUAGCUCCAAUUAGCUACCAAGCACCUAAAAUGUGGCUAGCGCAGC